rnacentral:rRNA from 1 species
AUUGAACGCUGGCGGCAGGCCUAACACAUGCAAGUCGAGCGAGCGGCGGACGGGUGAGUAAUGUAUGGGGACUGCCCGAUAGAGGGGGAUAACUACUGGAAACGGUGGCUAAUACCGCAUACUAUCGGAUAACCCAUAUGGGAUUAGCUAGUAGGGGGGGUAAAGGCUCACCUAGGCGACGAUCUCUAGCUGGUAUGCGAGGAGGAUCAGCCACCCUGGGACAUAGCACCGGCCCAGACUCCUCCGGAUGCAGCAGUGGGGCAUAUUGCACAAUGGGCGCCAGCCUGAUGCAGCCCUGCCGCUUUUAUGAAGAAGGCCUUAGGGGUGUAAAGUACUUUCAGCGGGGAGGCGUUACCCGCAGAAGAAGCACCGGCUAACUCCGUGCCAGCAGCCGCGGUAAUAC